CAGUCGCCGCGGGAAUACGAAGGGGGCUAGCGUUGCUCGGAAUCACUGGGCGUAAAGCGCACGUAGGCGGACUCUUAAGUCAGGGGUGAAAUCCUGGAGCUCAACUCCAGAACUGCCUUUGAUACUGGGAGCCUUGAGUUCGAGAGAGGUGAGUGGAACUGCGAGAGUAGAGGUGAAAUUCGUAGAUAUUCGCAAGAACACCAGUGGCGAAGGCGGCUCACUGGCUCGAUACUGACGCUGAGGCACGAAAGCGUGGGGAGCAAACAGGAUUAGAUACCCCGGUAGUCCCUGUCUCUUAUAC
rnacentral:rRNA from 1 species